rnacentral:rRNA from 1 species
CCUCGGGUUGCAGCAGUCGAGAAUCUUCCGCAAUGGACGAAAGUCUGACGGAGCGACGCCGCGUGCGGGAUGAAGGCUUUCGGGUUGUAAACCGCUGUCAGUGGGGAGGAAAUGCAUCAGGGUUCUCCCUGGUGUUUGACCGACCCGCAGAGGAAGCGCAGGCUAAGUUCGUGCCAGCAGCCGCGGUAACACGAACUGCGCGAACGUUAUUCGGGAUCACUGGGCUUAAAGAGUUCGUAGGCGGCCUUUCAAGUCGGGUGUGAAAUCCCUCGGCUCAACCGAGGAAUUGCGCCUGAUACUGUUGGGCUUGAGGGGGAUAGGGGUGAGCGGAACUGAUGGUGGAGCGGUGAAAUGCGUUGAUAUCAUCAGGAACACCGGUGGCGAAGGCGGCUCACUGGAUCUCUUCUGACGCUGAGGAACGAAAGCUAGGGGAGCGAACGGGAUUAGAUACCCCGGUAGUC